GUUUUGGGACACCUUGUAUAUUAGAUAAAUACUUUUUAGCCAAUAAUAGAAUGUUGCCAGCUGGAUCGCCAGAAAACAAUUCCCUGCCGAGUAAAGCUAUUCAAAAUCUAAACCUGCUUUCUUAAGUAUGCCAAAAUUGUAAGCAAAAAAGUUGAAAUCACAUUGUAACAUCGAGAAUCAUUUUGUAAGUAAACAUACACUAUUUGUAGUAAAACAAAUUAUUAUUAAUGAAAUAUUUUGAUAUCAUUAUUUUUGUAGAGGAGGUUAAUAUGUGUGUGUGUGUGUGUGAAUAUAAUUUAAUUAAAAUAAUUGUUAGUUUAAUAAUUAAAGUUAUAUUUUGGUUGGUAUAAGAAGGCUCGUGUAUUACUUAGAUUGAAUUAAAUGAAGAUUAUCUUAGGUUUAAGAUGUGUUUUUUUUAAGACACACACUCGGCCUUUUUUUACUUUUUUUAAAAAGGUAAUUUUGUUUGGUUUAUUUUACUACAAAUAGUGUAUUUAUUUAUGAAAUAAUCCUUGAUUGUUGGACAAGCAUCCAUUGCUACUUCUAAACCCAUUCUUGUAAAGGCCAAUGUGGGUAGCAUAUUUUCCGUUUGCUGAAAGAUAAAAAGUGUAUACUAGUCAGCAGACUAUAUAACAAAGUAACAGUAAACAAUGACCAGGUCUGUCGAAAGCAUUUAUGACAUGUUGAUAAUAAACACAACAGUAUUUCUUCUAGUUUAAACAAUGUCGGUACAUUGCUGGCACAAACAGCACAUAUGCUUUAGUAGUACAAGCAAUUUUGACAAAUCUGCUCUCAGUUUGUUAUAUCAAUCUGUUGCUGCACUGUUGAUGAUAAAUCUACUUGAUGUUACAAUGUGAUUUUAACUUUUUUGCUUACAAUUUUGGCAUACUCGAGAAAGUAGCAGGCUUUGAAUUUGACAGUUUUACUCGGCAGGGAAUUGUUCUCUGGCGAGGUAGCAACAUUUCUCGAAGAGGAGACCCUACAGCCGCCGAUCGUCAAUUUGCGAUAGAUUGGUCGGUGGACUCAAGAAAUGUUGCUAUCUUACUUCAACGAGCACCCGACUCGUUUGAACGCUACGGUUCUCCGCGUAUGAGAAUAAAAAAUCACCUGAACAUCCAGGCCCUACUUAUAAAACAAUUAAUGAUAACAAAGUGACCGUCGCGUCCGUUUGUAAUCUAGAUCACGUUUUGACUUAAAUUUUUAUGCGGCAUUUAUAGAGAAUCUAGAGAAUAAAAUUUUAAGAUACAAAUAAUAAAUAAAUUGUUCAGAUAAGUAGUUUAAUUGCAAUUAAUUGACAAUAGUUGACCCUGUUAGCUUACUGAAACAUUUUAUAAUACGGUGCCAGAUCGUCAACGACGUAUGUAUGUACACACAGUUGGUCCCGGGUUUCGAGUAUUUCAGUGAGCCGGCAAAAAAUUUAUUUAACAUUUACAUUUUUAAAUCUUUAUCACUAGAGAGCACUCUCUAGUGAUCACAGUAAAAAUAGUGAAUAAUUUAAAUUUAAUCGCAUAGACCAAAA